rnacentral:rRNA from 1 species
CUACGUGCCAGCAGCCGCGGUAAUACGUAGGUGGCGAGCGUUGUCCGGAAUCAUUGGGCGUAAAGCGCGCGCAGGUGGUUUAAUAAGUCUGAUGUGAAAGCCCACGGCUCAACCGUGGAGGGUCAUUGGAAACUGUUAAACUUGAGUGCAGGAGAGAAAAGUGGAAUUCCUAGUGUAGCGGUGAAAUGCGUAGAGAUUAGAAGGAACACCAAUGGCGUAGGCAGGUUACUGGACUAUUUCUGACGCUAAGGCACGAAAGCGUGGGGAGCGAACUGGAUUAGAUACCCAGGUAGUCCACGCCGUAAACGAUGGAUACUAGCUGUUGGAGGUAUCGACCCCUUCAGUAGCGAAGCUAACGCGUUAAGUAUCCCGCCUGUGGAGUACGGCCGCAAGGCUAAAACAUAAAGGAAUUGACGGGGACCCGCACAAGCGGUGGAUCAUGUUCUUUAAUUCGAUGAUAAACGAAGAACCUUACCAGGGUUUGACAUCCCGA